GCCCCCGUAGCUCAGCGGAUAGAGCGACCGGUUUCUACCCGGUUGGUCGGGAGUUCGAGUCUCUCCGGGGGCACCA
rnacentral:tRNA from 1 species